rnacentral:tRNA from 1 species
UUCCUGGUAGUCCAGUAGUUAAGACUCCGUACUUUCACUGCAGGGGGACACAGGUUCGAUCCCUGGUCGGGAAA